rnacentral:lncRNA from 1 species
GAAAGAAUUAGGGAAACCAGGAGUGUGAAAACCCACUGCCUUCCAGACACCCCGAGAGCUCACUGGUCACACUAGCCUGGGACGUGUCUUCCUGUGAAUAACACGCUGUAGACAUAACUGCUUGAAUUACAACUAUUGAAAACUGGCUUGACUAUUUCUCUGACCAUUAGUCCAUUAAGCCUAUUGAUUCAUUAAAAAAAAAAAAACAACUCCCUGGCCAUUCAGUCCACAUUUGAAGGGCACAUAUCAAAUCUUUGUCCUGAGAUCUUAAAAUAAAUGCAACAGUUUUAUGGUUCACAUGGAGACAUUGUGGAGUCUUGUGAACAUGUGGCCCCAGUCUCCUAUGCAGCAUCAGAACUGUUCCAAGUUCUGAGCUCUUGGACAAGUCCUCACCCAGAAGAGUGGCCUGUUUGUUUUGUAAGAACAGGAUGAUCAUCCCCAGAAAUGCAGAACAGCCCAGGGCUUCGGAGACAGCAGAGCCUUCGGAUCAAGACACACCUGAGACGGAGACUGCUCGGCCUCAUGCCAUCUGGGUAGCUUUGGGCAAAUUGCUCAAACUGUCUGAGCUCAGCUUCCUUAUCUGGAAAAGAAGGAUGACGAUGCCAAGGUCAUAGAGUUGUCAGUGUCUUAGUCUACUUUGUUUUGCUGCAACAAAAUCCCCGAGGCUGAGCCACUGUAUAAAAAACUGUUUGGCUCGAGGUUCUGGAGAUGUGAGAGUGUGGCUCUGGCAGCAGCUCCGGUCUGGUGAGGGUGAUACGGUGGAUGGUAUCAAGAGGAUGUGAAGCCUGCAUCAGUCCCUUCUGAGGGUGGGGCCUCUGUGAUGUAAUCACCUUCCGCUGGGUGUCACCUCUGACAGGUUCCAAAACCACAUCCACACUGCAGCAAAUAAGGUAACAAAUGUAAAUGCAAAGGGCCUCUUCUACCAUAAGCAUUAGAUUGUCUAUUCCACAAGGUAGAAAGGACAUGAAAAUGAGCCCUCCUGUCAAUGUCAGCUUGGCCCCCAUCUGUUGCAAACCCAGCAGUGGACACCAUGAGAGCUUUUGGGAAAGCCACCAACUGGCAGCAAUUGGGCUACUUCGAAACAGAACCAUGGAACCGCACCAUGCCUGCGCUUGCGUGCUAAGGGUCUGCUUAGCAAGCCAGCCAGAGCCAAGAGGCUAUGUGGAAACAAAUUCCCAAAAAACACAGGUUCCCAUGGAAAAGAAUGGAAAAAGGUCAGGGGAUUUGAGCUCACUUGGCUGCUGUUCCAGCCCUGGGCUGUGCCCGGCGUGGUCUUCCUGCACAGUGACUUCUUUUGACCUGGUUCUGAGACCUUGGCAGCCUGCUUUGUUGUGCUUAAGUUCGACCUUCCCUGACCCCUGUGUCAUUUUCGAUGUCACCAUGGAAAUUUCCAGACCUCCCUGGAGCUGGUUUCUGGCCAUGAGCAUCCACCCCAGAUGCAUGCAUACUCUCUUCCAGCUCUGUGGGAUCCAUCUCGCAGGAGGCUUCGUCCACCAGUCCUGGGGUUCUCUGCAUGCCAUGCCAAGUUAUGGAAACAGUGUCCGAGUCCUCGCUUGCUGCAGGAGAUGUGUUGCUCUCCUGCGUCUGUGUGAUCCCUGUGUCCCAAUCCUGAUCUUCACACCAGAGGAAACGAAGGCCGAGAGCAGGUGGACCCUUCCUUGUGGCCCAGAACCCGUCAGGCACGGUUGAGAUGGAGCCACAUCCAGGGCUGCUCUCAACACAGCUUCCGACGUGAUCAGUGCCACCAGCUUAGCGUGAAAACUGACCCUGGCCAGCCAGGACUUGACCCGUGCUAGUAGGCUGAAGGAUUUUUCCAUUUGUGACACAGUGGCAUGCUUUGGCUUUAGCCUGGGUUGGGAGCUCUGUCCACGCCUGUGAUGCAGACUCUAUUUAAGCUCCAACUUUCCCUUUCCUUCUGGGAACACAGCUAGUCAAUGUCCUUGGCUUAUUAACGGCAGCCUGGUCACUGAAUGGCGAAACUCCAGCCACUGCCCAGGGGCCACAGUAUCAUCAUUUUCCUUACAGAGGGAUUGUUGAUUGGGUUAAGUCUAAGACUCGUUAAGUGGCUAGUGUUACCUUAACUAGUACUUUAACUAGUACACUAUUUACUUUCCUAUAUGUCAUUUAUCCUCACUUUGUGUGUGUGUGUGUGUGUGUGAUACUGGGGAUUAAACCCAGGGCAUUCACACUGAGCUACAUCUACAACCCUUUUUAUUUUUCAUUCUCAGACAGGGUCUUGCCAGUUUGCUGAAUGUGGACUUCGUCUUUUGAUCCUUGUACCUCAGCCUCCCAGAGUGCUGGGGUUGUAGGCAUGUGCCACCACACCUGGCUCAUCUCCACCUUUCGUUCUUCUCCAAGUCAGCGCGUACGCCAUUUGGUAUCAAAAGCCACCAUGCUGCAUCUGUGGCCAUCCAAGAUAUUGGUCCUGCAUCUUCCUGUGAACUUCUUAACAAUGUCACCCUCACUGUCCCCAUUUAUAGCCUGAACAUGAUGAUAAAUGUGAUACCAGCCCAUUAGAUUGCUAGAAAGGUGGACUGAAAGGUUAGGUAAUGUUUAGUAACUAAACUAGCACACAACCCUUCUGUAGCUCAGCUUUCCAGCUGGGCCAUGGGCUCAUUAUCACCUUGCCAAGGUUGCUGGUGAGGAGCAGAGGCAGCACUACUACCUGCAGUCAGUCAAGACCCGGGAGUUGCUGUCAUCUGUCCCUGUCCUGAACUCUUCUGUCUCUGCUGUCUCAGAGCAAUAGAUAAUCCACCCUCCCCACAAUCACAGACAGAAAGCCUUAAAGCCCUGCCCUUCCUGUCCCCAAGUUCCAGGGCCCUCCUUGGGCUUGUGUCCCUUCUUCCAUGCCAUGUGGCAGACUCUCAGCAUCACCCAUCCAGUACCCACCUGGAGCCUCCUACCCUGGAUCCCCUCUCCCCGCCCACAGCAGAGGGAAGGUGAGGCUGAGUGCAGACCCAGGCAGAAUGUGAGACAUCAGGCCUGCAGCUCCAGCCUGAGGCCUUGGGCCCACAGCCUGAGGACAGGGAGCAGUCGGCACCUGGUGGAGACUGGGGACAGGUGCCCGUCAGGGGCCACCCAGCAGCAGGAGGUGAGCAAAUUGCAUGUUGGGAUUGCUGCGGUGCAAGAUGCACACAGGUCUGCUGAUGGCUAUGGGGAUGCCACUAGCCUAGGGGUGCCCUGCCUGUCCUUCCGAGGCGCAAAGCAAGAGCAUCUCCUUCAGAAUCCACACUCGGGAGGGUCCUGGCAGCAGCCCUGACCAGCGCAGUCUCAUGCCAGAGCCAAGACACCAAGAGGACCCAGGGUGGCCAGCAGGAGUCAGAGGACACUGGGCAUGUGACACGGAUUCCUUCCGAUAGGUCAUCUGCUCCAUGCUCACUGUGUUGGCACAGUGUGCAGUGCGGGGCAUGGCACCCGGGUGUGGCCUGGUGCUGGCUGCAGACAGAUUCCAGCCAAGAUGGCAGCGGAGGGGACAAAUGUGGGAAGAUCGACUUCUGACCUGACAGCCACCCUUGUGAACAAAUGCAGGACACCAAAGCCCUGCCGCCCUGCCACCAGCCAGGUUACUGGAUCUCGGUUACCUUUUGCGAUUCAAAGAGAAGGAAUUUCCAAAUUACUCUCCAGAUGUCUAGUAAAAGAAAUCUCCUUCUAAGAGGUCAAAUCUGUCCCCUGUCAGGGGGCAGCUACCUAUACCAACAGCAAAAGUCAGACGUUUCAUGCCUUGUCAGAGAUCCCAAUUUGUGGAAACAAGAAGGAAAAGGAUUUCCCUGUGCUUAAAUCACCAAAUGAUCCAUAGCUGAGGAGAGAAAUCGGCAAGAGGCAUUUGGCCACCCUAACUUUCCAAGUGAUCAUUACAGAGCCGAAGGGCAUGCUUUCUUUAUCUCCAAAGGAAAAUGAUCUACAGAAACAAGUUGAGCACUAAAGGAAGAUGAGGCAGGAGGAUCUCAUUUGGAGUCCCACCUGGGCAUCUCAAUAAGAGCCUGUCUCGAAUUAAAAAGUAAAAAGGGCUGAGGAUGUAGAUCCCCAAUACUUCAAACAAACUGACAAAAAGAAACAGAUAGGUUGAGCAUCCCUAAUACAAAAAUCUAAAGAAAUCAGAAAUGUUCCAAAAUAUGAAAGUUUUGAAACUGCCACAUCUG